AAGGAGUCUAACAUAUCUGCGAGUAUUUGGGUGUCAAACCCGAGUGCGCAAUGAAAGUGAACGUAGGAGCCACGCGCAAGCUGCAGCUUCGACCGAUCUGGAUCUUUAGUGAUGGAUUUGAGUAAGAGCAUAUAUGUUGGGACCCGAAAGAUGGUGAACUAUGCCUGAAUAGGGCGAAGCCUGAGGAAACUCUGGUGGAGGCUCGUUGCGAUUCUGCCGUGCAAAGCGAUCGGCAAAUUUGGGUAUAGGGGCGAAAGACUAAUCGAACCAUCUAGUAGCUGGUUACUGC
rnacentral:misc_RNA from 1 species